rnacentral:rRNA from 1 species
UACGUAGGUGGCAAGCGUUGUCCGGAUUUACUGGGCGUAAAGAGCGCGCAGGCGGUCGUUCAAGUCGCGUGUGAAAGCCCCCGGCUCAACUGGGGAGGGUCACGCGAUACUGAUCGACUCGAAGGCAGGAGAGGGUAGUGGAAUUCCCGGUGUAGUGGUGAAAUGCGUAGAUAUCGAGAGGAACACCGGUGGCGAAGGCGGCCUUCUGGACAGUGACUGACGCUGAGACGCGAAAGCGUGGGGAGCAAACAGG